GCCCGCGUAGCUCAAUCGGCUAGAGCGUGAGACUUUUAAGCCUCCAGGUUUGCCUCGGGCUGGUGAAAUCUCAAGGUUGCGAGUUCGACCCUCGCCGUGGGCU